rnacentral:lncRNA from 1 species
AGGGAUCGAUCCUCCCCAGACGCAGUUUCGCUCUCUCACUCCUGUGGCCACCUGGGAAUUUACCUGCGGACUUGCUCAGGCGCCCCAGACCACCAGUUUAUCAGGGGGCCCUUAAGUGGAGGCUUAAAAAUCCCUGUGACGCGGGCUUAGGCCCAGUGGGCUAGUCAGAUCACUGUGUGGUCUGGAUACUGGGUUAUCAAAAAAUA